AUUGAACGCUGGCGGCAUGCCUUACACAUGCAAGUCGAACGGCAGCACGGGUGCUUGCACCUGGUGGCGAGUGGCGAACGGGUGAGUAAUAUAUCGGAACGUACCUUAUUGUGGGGGAUAACGCAGCGAAAGCUGUGCUAAUACCGCAUAAUCCCUAAGGGGGAAAGUGGGGGACCGUAAGGCCUCGCGCAAUUAGAGCGGCCGAUACCUGAUUAGCUAGUUGGUGAGGUAAAGGAUCACCAAGGCAACGAUCAGUAGCUGGUCUGAGAGGACGAUCAGCCACACUGGGACUGAGACACGGCCCAGACUCCUACGGGAGGCAGCAGUGGGGAAUUUUGGACAAUGGGGGCAACCCUGAUCCAGCAAUGCCGCGUGAGUGAAGAAGGCCUUCGGGUUGUAAAGCUCUUUUGUCAGGGAAGAAACAGCAGCUCUAACACAGUUUGCGAAUGACGGUACCUGAAGAAUAAGCCCCGGCUAACUACGUGCCAGCCGCCGCCGUAA
rnacentral:rRNA from 1 species